rnacentral:lncRNA from 1 species
UGCAAAGGGCGAGGCGGAUGUAACUGAAAGGCAGAAUUGUGUGAGGAAGAAUAAGAGAGAGAAAUAGGCAGUAUUCGAUAAAGUGUGAGAAAAGAAGGAAACAGAGAAUCAAAGUGAGACUAAAAAAGAGUGAUUUUAUAAGGAAAGAUAGUGAAAUAAAGGAAAAGUAAAGAAGGAUGGAGAGAAGCUAGAAAGUGUGAAAACAGGGGGUGGCCCUAAAACGUUAGGAAGACACACAUUAGUGACAGAAGGGGAGGAACCUGAGCUCAGUGGCUAUUAGGAGAGAACGUGUGUGUGUGUGUGUGUGUGUAUGUGUGUGUGUGUGUGUGUAAAAGAAAGAGAAGUGAAGCUUUCAGUGCCCACCCACACCUCCUUGUGGGUGUAAAGUGUCUGUGUUGUCGCUACUGCUGCUUGUCUGAGAAAGGAGAAAGCAGCUGUUAAAUUUGACUAAGCAGCUGUAAUUAGAGUCUCUUGAAGCUGUCUCUCCUCCCCUCCCCUCCCCCGCUCACUACUUGGCAGAAUCCCCGAACCAAGCGGGGCUUCAGAGCCGGAUCCCUCUGCCUCCAAGUGCCCGAUCAGCGUGAACUGGGGAAUAAACUGAUUGGAGCUGGGAAGACUGCAUGCUUCGGAAGGACGCGGGCGCGUCCGAGGAUCCCGUCUCUACCCAGGUCCCUGUUAAGGACUGAAUCCUUUCCACUCAUUCUACCAGGGCUGGCCCAAGGCAAAUCUGUGAAGUGGGUGAAGUCCAUGUUAAUUGUGUCAAGUGUUUAAAAAAUAGCUGUGCCUAGACAAUAGAAGCUGUGAAGAGAUACAGUUACUGUGCUUGGCCACUCAACAGGAACAUUGCUGACGGAUCCCUGAAAUUGCUUUUAUUCAGUGCUGCUGUCAAUUGAGACAAGGCAAGUUAUUGGCAUUUUUGAGAUAUUUACAUUUGAGAGGAGCACUUGAAUAAUACAGCUGAGACUGAGAGACAGGGAUCAAUACCAGUGUUAUUUCUGCCAUAUGGAUUUAACUCUACAUAAACAGCAACUGGAAUAUUUGUAUAACCAAGGUAAUGCCUUUGCUUGUCCCCUCUGGUGGUGUGACCUCUAGAAAUCUCAGAAAGUUAAUCACUCCACCUAAGUCUAAGACUUAUCUUAGCUAGAUGCAUAUUUCCUACUUUAUUUUGGUUACUUAGAAAUUACUUGAUAAUGCCAACUUUAUUUAUCCCUCAAACUGGAAAGAUACAAUUUUUAGGGAGAAAUACUGAG